UCGUACAACAGAGGCGUCGGGGCUGUCGCUGACCUUUCAAAGGUCGUGCACGCCCCGAGCGCUCUCGCACAAUCCAUCUCACCCCUUUGUGCAUCACCGCGUGGGUCCCCCCCCUUUUGCGGGGAGGGAGGGCCUGCGUCUCCACAUAAAACCUAAUACAGUGUAGAGUGUUUAUUUUUGCGGUCAUACGCAAUCAAUA
rnacentral:misc_RNA from 1 species